UCGCGGCGGUGCGCGCAGAARGGUCUGGGUCGAGCCUGCCUGGAGCCGCCGCCGGUGCAGAUCUUGGUGGUAGUAGCAAAUACUCCAGCGAGGCCCUGGAGGACUGAUGUGGAGAAGGGUUUCGUGUGAACAGCCGUUGCACACGAGUCAGUCGACCCUAAGCCCUAGGAGAGAUCCGAUGCAAACGGGCGAUGGGAAAAAACUGUACUCUUGAANAANGGUUUKGANRARANCCCNUUGAUCGGGNNAAAAGGGAANNCGGUUCC
rnacentral:rRNA from 1 species